AUGGUCACAGGACCACCAAGUAUACUGAAACUGGAAUGAUACAAAGAUUAGCAUGCCACUGUACAAAGAUAGCAUGCAAACUCACAAGUUGGUCCAUGUUUUU